UUCCUUGCAUAACUCUUUCUUCCCUUGACCUCUCAAUGGCAUGUGACCCUGGCAUCACUUCCUCCUUAAAUGUCCCUCUCUGACUUCCAUGACGUGAACUCUCCUGCUUUUCUGGACAGCCUUCUGGGUCUCUCCAGUUGAGACUCUCUGCUGAUCCAGACCCAAACAAUCGACUGCCUACUGAGCAUCACCACCCCAUGUGCCACAGUCACUGGACAUCGGCAUGUCUAAAGCAGUUCCUCACCAGCUCCGCACCCCCAUCCCUACUCCUGGGUUCUACUGGCAAUCAUAACAGGAGGAAUGAAGAUUAGACUUCAGGAGGAACCGGGGGAAAAGAGGAACCCAGCAGGGCAAAUGUGCUAUUCAUCUGUCAUCUCUUAGCCUGGAAACUUCCCCAGGAGCAGAGUCAUCAAUCACAAAAUGUUAACUCCAAGGGGAUUUUCAAGGCUCUCCUACCCGGCAGGUAAACCACCUGAAGCUUCGGACCGGCUGGGUCACCUCGGGAAAGUAACUUAACCUCUCUGAACGCCCCCAAGGUCAGAAAGCUUUGCUUUCGGGGGAGAAAGCGGUAUGCAAACAAGACGCAUACGAAACACACACCGCGGGCGCCGGC
rnacentral:lncRNA from 1 species